CAACUACUCCCUCUGUCCCAAAUUUCUUGUCUUAGAUUUGUCUAGAUACAGAUGUAUCUAAUACUAAAAUGUGACUUGAUACAUCCGUAUCUAGAAAAAUCUAAGACAAGAAUUUUGGGACGGAGGGAGUACUUU
rfam:Triticum aestivum genome assembly, contig: Triticum_aestivum_CS42_TGACv1_scaffold_559118_7AL